rnacentral:rRNA from 1 species
GUCGACAGCUGUACCACCCUGAGCGCGCCUGAUCUCGUCUGAUCUCAGAAGCUAAGCAGGGUCUGGCCUGGUUAGUACUUGGAUGGGAGAACGCAGGGAGCCCAGGUUUUUAACCACU